rnacentral:rRNA from 1 species
AUUGAACGCUGGCGGCAGGCUUAACACAUGCAAGUCGAGCGAGCGGCGGACGGGUGAGUAAUGUCUGGGAAACUGCCUGAUGGAGGGGGAUAACUACUGUAAACGGGAGCUAAUACCGCUUACCAUCAGAUGUGCCCAGAGGGGAUUAGCUAGUAGGUGGGGUAAUGGCUCACCUAGGCGACGAACCCUAGCUGGUCUUAUAGGAUGACCGGCCGCACUGGAACUGAGAAACGGUCCAGACUCCUACUGGAGGCAGCAGUGGGGAUUAGUGCACAGUGGGCGAAGGCGUGAUGCAGCCAUGCCGCGUGUGUGAAGAAGGCCUUCGGGUUGUAAAGCACUUUCAGCGAGGAGGCGUUACGCGCAGAAGAAGCACCGGCUAACUCCGUGCCGGCAGACGCGGUAAUUC